AGACCACUUGAAACCCAGCCCACUUGAGAAUAUUGCAAUCAAUCACAAAGGUGAGAGUGAAAGAAACUUUGUGUGGAAGACUGAGACACAUGUUCGGAUUUUGAGGAAAGAUUCGAGUUUCCUCUCAAUGUGUGUGAACGAGUCCUCUCCGAGAUAAUCAGCAUCUCCCUGCUCCCAUUUCUGCUUCCUUUCCAGUGAGGAGGUUCGAGGAACUGGCGGAGGAACAUGCUCCUCCUGCUGUGCUGCCUCAGCAUGCACACUCUUCUGCUGAGAGCUUGCCAGUAGAGACCACAUGACAAUCCUUCUGAUUCAUCCUGAUUCCCUGAUAAUGUUCUGAUGAACUUCUGCUAAGUAUGGCUCCAAACAAAUGGACCUCCAAAUAGUACCACUUGAUAUUUGGGUGGAUGGUGAACAAACCCACUAACCAUAAUGAAGGUUUACUCAAAUAUCAAUGAUGGAACUGUAAUAAAUGGACCUUUGGUGUCACCUACUGUAGAUGAAAA